CUUGAAACAAAACAAACAGAAAAACCCUAGAAAAUAACACUCCUAUUUAUUGCGGAAAGGGGGAAAAUAUUAAAAAAAUAAAUAAAAAGGUAAACCAUCGGUCCAUCGAACAAUUCAUCAACCUCAGCUAAUAAAACCCUCUCGUCUUCCGCCCACAGACGGAUUAGCAGUUCCAUUGUCAGAGGUAAAGUUGCAAGUAUCCCAAAUUGUACCAACGUCUUUGGUCUAAUUACGACAAAUACUUUCCCGUCGUCGCUGCUACCGGUACAGAGUUAGGAUUCGCGGAACAAAGGGAAGAGUCAAUGACGACGCCGAUGAGAUCGCCGAGAUGGGGUUAUGUUCGAAUAAUAACUGGAACCAUUCUUGGAGGCAUACUUGGAUUCUAUGCUAUGCAUCGUGCUGAACUCAAGUACAAGGAAAUGUGGAAUGAGAGAUUGAAGAAAUAUGAAGAGGAGCUCAAAAUGAAGCAAAGUACGGAGACGCAUGCCCCAACUGAGUUGUCAGGAGACCCUCUUCCGAGAUAGUACAAGGACUUUAGGAUACACUGCUUGGACGGUCAUACUUCUGAAGUUAGGGUUUGAUCAGCAGAAAGUUUGACGAUUGUGAACUACUCCGACCCUGGUAAAAGAACCAACAGGAUGAGUAAGUGCAGGCUCAUGUUAAUCUCAGUAAACGGAUUCUCUUUUGUGUUAGGUUUUUGUGGCCAGCAUAGUCUUUUGGUUCAAGAUCCAGGAAAGAAAAGCUUUUCGGCCUCACAUUUACUCGGCCUCAACUAGGUGGUAUCCACUAGUUGAGAAUAGGUUUUAGACUUG